ACACACACACACACACAGACAGACAUACUGACACACACACACACAGACAUACUGGCACACACACACAGACAUACACACACACACACAGACAUACACACACACACAGACAGACCUACUGACAUACAUUUAGCCACCCUCCAGGUUCUUACCUUUUCCUGGAGGGUGGUUUCCCUGGUCCAGUGGCAGGCUGAGGCAGAUGGGAGUUCUCCUCUUGAACUCCCCUCCUCCCUGCCUUCCUCCUCCCGCGCGGCUAUCUCCGGUGGGAGGAAGUGACGUCACUCCUCCCAGCCGGCUGCAGAACCGGAAGAGGGGCCCGGUCGCGCUGUUUAAGCGCCACAGCGCCCGAUCGGGCCCUUGUUGACACAUGCUCUCC